AUUGAACGCUGGCGGCAGGCUUAACACAUGCAAGUCGAGCGGGGUGAUGGUGCUUGCACUAUCACUUAGCGGCGGACGGGUGAGUAAUGCUUAGGAAUCUGCCUAUUAGUGGGGGACAACAUCUCGAAAGGGAUGCUAAUACCGCAUACGUCCUACGGGAGAAAGCAGAGGAUCACUUGUGACCUUGCGCUAAUAGAUGAGCCUAAGUCGGAUUAGCUAGUUGGUGGGGUGAAGGCCUACCAAGGCGACGAUCUGUAGCGGGUCUGAGAGGAUGAGCCGCCACACUGGGACUGAGGCACGGCCCAGACUCCUACGGGAGGCAGCAGUGGGGAAGAUUGGACAAUGGGGGGAACCCUGAUCCAGCCAUGCCGCGUGUGUGAAGAAGGCCUUAUGGUUGUAAAGCACUUUAAGCGAGGAGGAGGCUCUUUUGGUUAAUACCCAAGAUGAGUGGACGUUACUCGCAGAAUAAGCACCGGCUAACUCUGUGACAGCCGCCGCCGUAA
rnacentral:rRNA from 1 species